rnacentral:lncRNA from 1 species
CAAUGAGUGUGCUACUAUCAACAAUAAUGGUAACAGAAAUACACAAAAUACAUACAUGAAUAUCUUAUAAUUUGCGCGUGCCAGUGAAUAUGCCUUCGGAUGCUGGCAGUGGGACGCGUGCCAUAGGUUCCCGACACCUGGUGUAGAGUGUUAAAUAUUUGAAAUGAGAGAGAUAAGAGUAUCAAUAAAGUUGUAAAUCCUAAUCAUUUUUUAGUGUCCCAGUUUUGUUGUUUUUAGUAAAAACUGAACAGUGCUUUUAAUUAUCUAAAACUGUUCAUUCUUGAGGAGAUAACAUCUAAGAAAAAACUAUGGGAAAGUAGAGAAAAGAGAAGGUACAUAUGAAAUUGCAACGGUUCUAUCGGUUGAAUGUUUGAAUCAGCAGUGUAAUUUACUCACAAGUUCGAAACAUAUAAUUAUAAAGCAAUUAAAUACAAUUAUUAACACCGUUACGUCAUAUAAAAACAGAAGAUAAACAAAACAUUACUGAUUACUCCAAUCUAUUGAAAUUUAAUUAUGAUUCUUCACCGGCACUUAAACUAAGCUUUUUGUCCCUCUUUGUUACAUCCAUUCAGUCCAUUCAGGGAGCACAAUAUACAUGAAGAGUUCAUACAUUUCCUGGAAACACAUUAUGGACAUGGGUAGUGAUUUAAUAAAUUGUUCGACCGAACAACUUCAUACUUGGGAAUCUAUCUCAUGCAUUCAUGAAAAAUGUUCGCUUGCCAUAUGAAAUCCAUCUAUUCAUAUCCUUGAUAUAGUUUUCAUGUUUUCUUCGGAAAGAGUUCCUUGAUGAGUUUCGACUGGCUCUCCUUAUCUUCACUUAGAUGUUAAUGUAAAAUAAGUUCAACCCUCGGAAUAUGUUUCCUUAGUGAAGAGGUCUUAUCGUUUUGAAUGAGGAUUGGAUUGGACGAAAGUCAGAUAAUUUCUAUGGAGGAAUAAUUACUUUCUAUCUUCUAAAUCAAGGCAAAUAUAACAUCUAUAAAAAAAGAUUUUCAAAUUUUUUAUAAAAAUAUAAAUACUAUUUUUAUCGGUGGCUUCUGAUUUCUUGUUCAAUGAAGGUAAUAUUUAUAUAUAUAUAUUUUUUUUGUAAAUUUCCAAGCAUUUUUGAAUUGGACACUCUUGACUCAUAAUUAUCAAUUUUACUUUUUUUUUUUUUUGUAGAAAUAUAAAAAGAUUAAUAGAAAUAUAAGGUUAUAUAAUAACGUGUGUACGACUCAUGUUUGACUUCUAGCAUGCAUUUUAAAGAUAGACAUCAUAGUGUAUGUGGGGUUGCGUCUUUUCUCAAAAUCUGUUUUUCUUGUCCAGCAGGUGGUACGAUACAUGAAAUUGAAAAUUCUAGCAAACCCG